CAAAUCUCUUUGCCUUUUGGCUUAGAUCAAGUGUAGUAUCUGUUCUUUUCAGUGUAACAACUGAAAUGUCCUCAAUGAGGAUAUUAUUACUGUUACAACAAUAUUUUUGGAACUAAAUAGGUCCCCCGACGUGCUUAUGCCGACGGGGGGCCGAGCCCAGGGCGGCCAGGUGGAGGCGCUGUGCUAGUGGGAGCCGUGUGUGAGAGAUAUGGUACCGUGGUUCUGCUUUGGUGGUGUCCGCUGUGCGUGAUCCCGUUCGGGGGGCGGGGCGGAGGGGAGGCGUGAGCUGUAACAUGGACGGGCUUGCUCGUCCUUCCCUUCCUUGGUGUCCUGCUUCCUGGGAUUGCGUGGGCGCCGCCGGCGUGGCUCUUGCGCGACCUAUGUUAUCGGCUAAACAUUGGGUCCACCCUAAGCUAGUGCAGGGUUCUGUGUCUGGCUCGACGUGCCGCAGCCAUUGCACUACCGGCAGCCGUGCGCUGUCACUGCCCUGGGCUUCCCCUUCUUUUGAGCGCGGGAAAUGAGGCCAUUUCUCGAGUUGAAAAGCUGAGCACGUUAUUAAAUGUCGUUAGAUACUGCUGAGAGUACUUUUUAGUUU